rnacentral:rRNA from 1 species
AGGGCAAGUCUGGUGCCAGCAGCCGCGGUAAUUCCAGCUCCAAUAGCGUAUAUUAAAGUUGUUGCAGUUAAAAAGCUCGUAGUUGAAUUUCGGGACCAUCAUGUCGGUCGUGCCUAGGUACGUACUGGCAUUGUUGGUUUCUCCCUUCUGACGAACCAUGAUGUCAUUUAUUUGGUGUUGUGGGGAAUCAGGACUGUUACUUUGAAAAAAUUAGAGUGUUUAAAGCAGGCUCACGCUUGAAUACAUUAGCAUGGAAUAAUGAAAUAGGACGUUUGAUUCUAUUUUGUUGGUUUCUAGGAUCGACGUAAUGAUUAAUAGGGAUAGUUGGGGGCAUUAGUAUUCAAUUGUCAGAGGUGAAAUUCUUGGAUUUAUUGAAGACUAACUACUGCGAAAGCAUUUGCCAAGGAUGUUUUCAUUAAUCAAGAACGAAAGUUAGGGGAUCGAAGACGAUCAGAUACCGUCGUAGUCUUAACCAUAAACUAUGCCGACUAGGAAUCGGGCGAUGUUGACAAAAUGACUCGCUCGGCACCUCAUGGGAAACCAAAGUGUUUGGGUUC